UGGGCGUAAAGCGCGCGCAGGCGGUCCUUUAAGUCUGAUGUGAAAGCCCACGGCUCAACCGUGGAGGGUCAUUGGAAACUGGGGGACUUGAGUGCAGAAGAGAAGAGUGGAAUUCCACGUGUAGCGGUGAAAUGCGUAGAGAUGUGGAGGAACACCAGUGGCGAAGGCGACUCUUUGGUCUGUAACUGACGCUGAGGCGCGAAAGCGUGGGGAGCAAACAGGAUUAGAUACCCUGGUAGUCCACGCCGUAAACGAUGAGUGCUAAGUGUUAGAGGGUUUCCGCCCUUUAGUGCUGCAGCAAACGCAUUAAGCACUCCGCCUGGGGAGUACGGACGCAAGGCUGAAACUCAAAGGAAUUGACGGGGGCCCGCACAAGCGGUGGAGCAUGUGGUUUAAUU
rnacentral:rRNA from 2 species